rnacentral:misc_RNA from 1 species
GAUGAAGAACGUAGCGAAAUGCGAAAAGUAAUGUGAAUUGCAGAAUUCAGUGAAUCAUCGAAUCUUUGAACGCACAUUGCGCCCGCUGGUACUCCGGCGGGCACGCCUGUCCGAGCGUCAUUUCAACCCUCAAGCCCUCCUUCGGGAUGGGCCUGGUGUUGGAGCUCGGCCACCAUCUCCGGCGGCCGUCCCCUAAAUACAGUGGCGGUCACGUCGCGACUCCUUUGCGUAGUAGAAACACCUCGCUCCGGAUAGCAACGCGGUCCACGCCGUAAAACCCCCAAUUUUCAAUGGUUGACCUCGGAUCAGGUGGGAAUACCCGCUGAACUUAAGCAUAUCAAUAAGCGGAGGA